GACGAACGCUGGCGGCGUGCUUAACACAUGCAAGUCGAACGGUGACCUCGAGAGCUUGCUCUCGAGUGAUCAGUGGCGAACGGGUGAGUAACACGUGAGUAACCUGCCCCAGACUCUGGAAUAACCCCGGGAAACCGGAGCUAAUACCGGAUACGAGACGGAGUCGCAUGGCUACCGUCUGGAAAGUUUUUCGGUCUGGGAUGGACUCGCGGCCUAUCAGCUUGUUGGUGAGGUAACGGCUCACCAAGGCGACGACGGGUAGCCGGCCUGAGAGGGGGACCGGCCACACUGGGACUGAGACACGGCCCAGACUCCUACGGGAGGCAGCAGUGGGGAAUAUUGCACAAUGGGCGAAAGCCUGAUGCAGCGACGCCGCGUGAGGGAUGACGGCCUUCGGGUUGUAAACCUCUUUCAGCAGGGAAGAAGCGAAAGUGACGGUACCUGCAGAAGAAGCACCGGCUAACUACGUGCCAGCCGCCGCGGUAAUAC
rnacentral:rRNA from 1 species